UACGUAGGGGGCAAGCGUUGUCCGGAUUUAUUGGGCGUAAAGAGCGUGUAGGCGGCCAUGCAGGUCCGUUGUGAAAACUCGAGGCUCAACCUCGAGACGCCGGUGGAAACCGUGUGGCUAGAGUCCGGAAGAGGAGAGUGGAAUUCCUGGUGUAGCGGUGAAAUGCGCAGAUAUCAGGAAGAACACCCGUGGCGAAGGCGGCUCUCUGGGACGUGACUGACGCUGAGACGCGAAAGCCAGGGGAGCAAACGGG
rnacentral:rRNA from 1 species